rnacentral:rRNA from 1 species
CAAUAACAUGUAGCAUGGGAUAAUGGAAUAGGACCCUGUCCUCCUAUUUUCAGUUGGUUUUGGCAGCGCGAGGACUAGGGUAAUGAUUAAUAGGGAUAGUUGGGGGCAUUAAUAUUUAAUUGUCAGAGGUGAAAUUGUUGGAUAUAUGAAAGAUUAACUUCUGCGAAAGCAUCUGCCAAGGAUGUUUUCAUUAAUCAAGAACGAAAGUUAGGGGAUCGAAGACGAUCAGAUACCGUCGUAGUCUUAACCAUAAACGAUGCCGACCAGCGAUUAGGAGACGUUGAAUACAAAACACCACCAUCGGCGCGGUCGUCCUUGGCGUCUCGCGUUCGCGCGCGGCGCGAGGGCGGCUUACCCCGGUGGCACCGGUGAAUGACUCCCCUAGCAGCUUGUGA